rnacentral:rRNA from 1 species
AGCGAGUACAGCGGCGAACGGGUGAGUAACACGUAGGUAACCUACCCUGGGGUUCGGGAUAACCUGUCGAAAGACGGGCUAAUACCGGAUAAGACCACGAGGGCUUCGGCUUUUGAGGUAAAAGGUGGCCACUGCUUGCAAGCUACCACCCCGAGAUGGGCCUGCGCGCCAUUAGCUAGUUGGUGAGGUAAUGGCUCACCAAGGCGAAGAUGGCUAGCUGGUCUGAGAGGAUGAUCAGCCACACUGGGACUGAGACACGGCCCAGACUCCUACGGGAGGCAGCAGUGGGGAAUAUUGCGCAAUGGGCGAAAGCCUGACGCAGCGACGCCGCGUGGGUGAUGAAGGCCUUCGGGUCGUAAAGCCCUGUCGGGAGGGACGAAAUCUUGCCGGCCUAAUACGUCGGUGACUUGACGGUACCUCCAAAGGAAGCACCGGCUAACUCCGUGCCAGCAGCCGCGGUAA